ACUGACUCUUCUCUGCCACCGCCUGAGCAUUCAUCCAUCCCUUUAUUCACUCAGUCGACAUGGUGGAGCUCCUGCUGUCUACCUUCCAGAAAACCUGUAGGGCACUCUGGAUGCUAAUGUGGGGUGGUCUCUGUCCUGAAGCAGUUCUCCUCCUACCUUCGGGGACAACUGGCGCUGACACAAGUACCGAUACGGAACUUUUGCCCAGUAAACCCCUGCGUGGGACAGCGUGAGUCUCCUGUGGCGAUGACCAGGUCACGGAGCCUUCAUUCCGUUCCUGAGGAAGAACCAGUAUCCUGAGGGAUUCCAGAGAAGUUGGACAAUUCAGUAAAUAAUUUUACGCAAAAAACAUGCCG